rnacentral:tRNA from 1 species
UACAAUGUAGCCUAGUGGACAUGGCAUCUGCCCGGUAAGCGCAACACUAUGGGUUCGUUUCCCAUCCCUGGAU